GUAGGGGGCUAGCGUUGUCCGGAUUUAUUGGGCGUAAAGAGCGUGUAGGCGGCCAGGUAGGUCCGCUGUGAAAACUCGAGGCUCAACCUCGAGAGGUCGGUGGAAACCAUCUGGCUAGAGUCCGGAAGAGGAGAGUGGAAUUCCCGGUGUAGCGGUGAAAUGCGCAGAUAUCGGGAAGAACACCUGUGGCGAAGGCGGCUCUCUGGGACGGUACUGACGCUGAGACGCGAAAGCGUGGGGAGCAAACAGGAUUAGAUACCCUGGUAGUCCACGCCGUAAACGAUGGGUGCUAGGUGUGGGGAGUGUCGACUCUCUCCGUGCCGAAGCUAACGCAUUAAGCACCCCGCCUGGGGAGUACGGCCGCAAGGCUAAA
rnacentral:rRNA from 1 species